GGGAGAGGUCAGAGAUACAAGGGAUAGUUAUCGCGAAUCUAAAGAGAAGGAACGAGAGCGUCGAGUCAAGGAGGAAGAGAAGAGGCAAAAAUCUCGUAUAGAGAGAGAAAGGUUGGAAAGAUUGGAGAGAGAAAAGGAAAGAGACAGAAUAAGAGAAACAAGGGAGCGUAAAGAAUUAGAAAGAC